rnacentral:rRNA from 1 species
UACGUAGGGGGCAAGCGUUGUCCGGAUUUAUUGGGCGUAAAGGGCGCGUAGGCGGUUUCUUAAGUUUGGAGUGACAGUGGGUGGCUUAACUACCCAAGGCCUCUGAAAACUGGGGAACUUGAGGACCAGAGAGGGACAUAGAAUUCCGGGUGGAGUGGUGAAAUGCGUAGAUAUCCGGAGGAAUACCAAAGGCGAAGGCAGUGUCCUGGAGGGUGACUGACGCUGAGGCGCGAAAGCUAGGGGAGCGAACAGGA